GACGAACGCUGGCGGCGUGCUUAACACAUGCAAGUCGAACGGGUCUGCCCUGUUUUUUGCGGGGUGGGUCAGUGGCGAACGGGUGAGUAACACGUGAGUAACCUGCCCCUCACUUCUGGAUAACCGCUUGAAAGGGUGGCUAAUACGGGGUGUUCUGGCUGUGCCGCAUGGUGUGGCUGGGAAAGAUUCACUUUUGUGGUGUUUUGGUGGGGGAUGGGCUCGCGGCCUAUCAGCUUGUUGGUGGGGUGAUGGCCUGCCAAGGCUUUGACGGGUAGCCGGCCUGAGAGGGUGGGCGGUCACACUGGGACUGAGAUACGGCCCAGACUCCUGCGGGAGGCAGCAGUGGGGGUAUUGCACAAUGGGCGGAAGCCUGAUGCAGCGACGUCGCGUGAGGGAUGGAGGCCUUCGGGUUGUGAACAUCUUUCGCCGGUGAAGAAGGUCCUGCUCUUUGUGGUGGGGUUGACGGUAGCCGGGUUAUCAAGCGCCGGCUAACUACGUG
rnacentral:rRNA from 1 species